rnacentral:rRNA from 1 species
UUAUGGCUCAGGAUGAACGCUAGCGGCAGGCUUAACACAUGCAAGUCGAGGGGCAUCGGGAGUAGCAAUACGUUGCCGGCGACCGGCGCAAGGGUGCGUAACGCGUGAGCAACAUGCCCGUAUCAGGGGGAUAAUCCAUGGAAACGUGGUCUAAUACCCCAUAGUAAUUAUGUAAGGCAUCUUAUAUAAUUUAAAGCUUUGGUGGAUACGGAUUGGCUCGCGUGACAUUAGCUAGAUGGUAAGGUAACGGCUUACCAUGGCUACGAUGUCUAGGGGUUCUGAGAGGAAGGCCCCCCACACUGGAACUGAGACACGGUCCAGACUCCUACGGGAGGCAGCAGUGAGGAAUAUUGGACAAUGGAUGGAAAUCUGAUCCAGCCAUGCCGCGUGCAGGAAAGACGGCCCUAUGGGUUGUAAACUGCUUUUGUAUGGGAGCAAUAAGGGCUACGCGUAGUCCGAUGAGAGUACCAUACGAAUAAGCACCGGCUAACUCCGUGCCAGCCGCUGC